GAGCCUUACCCUGCUCUUUAGCUCCACCCACAACUUGCUUUGGUGGCGCGCCUUUGGUUUCUGCUGCCUACACCAUGUCCUGGUUCCUGGUUCCUCCCUAAGACUAAUCCUGGCUUGCUAAUCACAGGGGCCUCUUCUGCGUGUGGUUUAGCUCCCAUCCCAAGUCUCAGGUACAAGUGCCCGAGCUUUCUGGAAUUGAUUUACCAGUUCUUUGAAAUGUUGAGUCCUUACAUUUUAGCACAUAUAUGAAUAUCCACGUCAGAAACACUCUACUAGACCAAAGACCCAAGGUGCAAGAACAAUGUUCUAGAGAAUUCUUCCAACUCAAACAUUUCCACGUUUGCCUCAAGAUAUACUUUUGCUCAAAUAACUACUUUAAAGAGAUCCGAAGUACUUAGAUUCAACUACAAUGGACAGUCCUUAAUAGUGCUCAAAUCAAAAUAACCAUUCCCUCUACGUGGUUGCUUCUCUUGGACAGAAGAAUCUGGGCAAUCAACAGCCUGUGCAACUUUUUCAAAAAGCACUCCAAUCACAUCCACUGGAUACAGUUUGCUAGUGUUUGGUUUCAGAAAGCUAUGCAUCUCAUGACUGGAAAAACCAAAGCAACUGUGUCAGCAAGAGAGGUCCUCAGCAGAAAUCAUUAUUCCCAGUUCUCCGUGUCCCCAAGCAUCAUGCCAUCCAAGAAGAGCUAGAAGAAGGCAUUUGAAGUACUCCUAUGCUGACAGCACCAGAGAGUUCAGGUGGGUUUAGAGAUCUGUAGACCUUGGAUGUUGGAGAACGAGCUUCUGUAUAAAGAACUGAGUACGGCUCUCUCCGUAUAGCCCCACCUGGCAGCCAUCGCCCUCAUCUCCUCUAAUGCUGAGAU
rnacentral:sRNA from 1 species